ACUUAAGCAUAUCAAUAAGCGGAGGAAAAGAAACCAACAGGGAUUGCCCUAGUAACGGCGAGUGAAGCGGCAACAGCUCAAAUUUGAAAGCUGGCCUUCGGGUCCGCAUUGUAAUUUGUAGAGGAUGCUUUGGGGCAGCCGCCUGUCUAAGUUCCUUGGAACAGGACGUCAUAGAGGGUGAGAAUCCCGUAUGUGACAGGACAUGGCACCCUAUGUAAAGCUCCUUYGACGAGUCGAGUUGUUUGGGAAUGCAGCUCUAAAUGGGAGGUAAAUUUCUUCUAAAGCUAAAUACCGGCGAGAGACCGAUAGCGCACAAGUAGAGUGAUCGAAAGAUGAAAAGCACUUUGGAAAGAGAGUUAAAAAGCACGUGAAAUUGUUGAAAGGGAAGCGCUUGCAAUCAGACUUGUUUUGACUGUUCGGCCGGUCUUCUGACCGGUUUACUCAGUCUGGACAGGCCAGCAUCAGUUUUGGCGGCCGGAUAAAGGCCUGGGGAAUGUGGCUCUCGCUUCGGUGGGAGUGUUAUAGCCCUGGGUGUAAUACGGCCAGCCGGGACUGAGGUCC
rnacentral:rRNA from 1 species